UACAAAAACAUGUCCUAUUGAUAUAUUAAUAUUAGGUCAGGCCUGCCCACUGUAUUUUAAUAUAAAUGGCCGCAGUAAUUUGACUGUGCGAAGGUAGCAUAAUCAUUUGUUUAUUAAUUGUAAGCUAGAAUGAAUGGUUUAAUGAAAUAUUAUCUUUCUUUAUAUUAUUAUUAAUGAAUUUAAUAUUUAAGUUAAAAAGCUUAAAUAUUUUUAUAGGACGAGAAGACCCUAUAGAAUUUUAUUAUUUUAUAAUUAUUAUUUAUUUUGUUUGAUAUUAAGUUUUGAUUAUUAUAUUAAUUUUGUUGGGGCGACAUGGAAAUUUCAUUAACUUUCUGUAUUUAUUAUUUAUUGAUUUAUAUAUUUAAUGAUCCCUUAUUAUGGAUUUUAAGAUUAAAUUACCUUAGGGAUAACAGCGUAAU
rnacentral:rRNA from 1 species